GAUGAAGAACGCAGCGAAAUGCGAUACGUAAUGUGAAUUGCAGAAUUCAGUGAAUCAUCGAGUCUUUGAACGCACAUUGCGCCCCCUGGUAUUCCGGGGGGCAUGCCUGUUCGAGCGUCAUUACAACCCUCAGGCCCCCGGGCCUGGCGUUGGGGAUCGGCGGAGCCCCCCGUGGGCACACGCCGUCCCCCAAAUACAGUGGCGGUCCCGCCGCAGCUUCCAUCGCGUAGUAGCUAACACCUCGCGACUGGAGAGCGGCGCGGCCACGCCGUAAAACACCCAACUCUUCUGAAGUUGACCUCGAAUCAGGUAGGAAUACCCGCUGAACUUAAGCAUAUCAAUAAGCGGAGGA
rnacentral:misc_RNA from 1 species